rnacentral:rRNA from 1 species
GCUUCCUACGGGAGGCAGCAGUGGGGAAUAUUGCACAAUGGGGGAAACCCUGAUGCAGCGACGCCGCGUGAAGGAAGAAGUAUUUCGGUAUGUAAACUUCUAUCAGCAGGGAAGAAAAUGACGGUACCUGACUAAGAAGCCCCGGCUAACUACGUGCCAGCAGCCGCGGUAAUACGUAGGGGGCAAGCGUUAUCCGGAUUUACUGGGAGUAAAGGGAGCGUAGGCGGCGAUGCAAGUCAGAAGUGAAAGCCCGGGGCUCAACGCGGGGACUGCUUUAGAAACUGGGU